GUUAAGUUGGCAGAUUUAUGUGACUGAUUUAGGCUCAGUAGAAAAAGGUGAAAUUCCUUUACUUAAUA
rnacentral:tRNA from 1 species